CCUGCCAAGCACUGUGCCGAACCCUGGCCAUGGAUCAUCUUAUGUUACUCUCACAGUGUUGGGUGCUUUAUUACCCAUUAUUUUCCCCAUGUGACAGACAAAGAAACUAAGGCUCAGAGAGAGUAAGAUCGCAGGAGAGGUCUCACAGAGAGAUGGUAAGGAAUAGGGUGUGAAAGCAGCCCAUGUUUGGAACCACUACAUCACCCAGUAAAUAGUUUUUCCCAAAUACCUCCUUUCUUAUCCACUCUCACAAGGAUGUCUCUGGCCCCACCACACUCUCUUUUGGAUGCGUGCAGGCUCCUCACAGGACCCAAAGGCCAAGAAUACUCACCCUGGAGAGCUGCCGGGUGCCUCUGGACAUGCUGGGAGGGGGAGGUUAGCAGGAAGCAGAACCCGGUCAAGUAUAUGUUUCCCUUGCACACAUGGUACACAGUGGGGCCACAGGCCUGGGGAAAGAAAGGACCAGUAGGAGAGAUGGUCCCUACUUCCUUUCCACCCCAACUCCUCCACCUUCCCCAAGACUCCCAGCCCCAGCAGCCCCCCAUGCCCACUCUUCCCUUUAAGACCCUCUUGUGACCAAAGCAACUCACCAGCAACUGAGUGGUGUUGGUGGUGGUCGCCAGGGACAGGCCCAUGGACAUGUUCACAAACUCUGGGGGAACUAACAGGACAGAUAUGUACAUGGUCACACUCAGGGGCACAGAGAGAACUAUAGUCACCACAGCCAUGGAAGACAAGGUGGUCUGAAAUGCCAAGGGGACUUCCAGGCAUUGGCAGAGUUGUGGGGGUGUAGAGGUACAAUGGGCAGGGAACACUUGAUGGAAGCUUGCCUGAGGAUGAAGAGUCUGCAGACAAAGCUGAAGCUGGGAAGCAGGACUGCUGGCCUCCCACAGGCCCCCAGACCUGGAUCCAGAAAGGGGCAGUGACUCACCCGGCAGGGAAGGGGCUCACACUUGUCCAUGCUGUAGGCACAUUGGUAGAGACCACCUGUUUGGUUGGCAGCCUUUGUCUCCUGGGGGGCUCCAACCACCACCGUAUGGGGAGAAUUAGAACAUUGCAGGUAAGAGUGUGGACUCUGGAGCCAGACUGCCACUUGGCAAGUUUACUUCACAUCUCUGAAAAUAACAAUUAAACCUCCACAUGGGGAGAAAAUUGUGAGUUUUAUUUUUUACUGUAUGCCCAGUUCCUGAGACAGUGUCUGGCCUAUGUAGGCACUCAACAGGUAUUUCUUGGAUGAAUGAUUCCUACCUCAAAGUGUUGAUAUGAGAAUUAAAGCAGUGUCUACAUAUAACAUGCUUGGCACAAUGCCUGGCCCUUAGUAAGGGCUCAAUAAAUGUGAACUAUGAUUAUUGUGAUUAUUGUGAUGGCAAGACAGCUUCUGUUUUCUGUCUAAAUACUCACAAGCUUGGGGGAAUUGCCACACCAGACAGAGAAGAGAGUUUGCAAAUGUGGGGAGGCAGAUGGGGAAGGACAGAACCCUUCGGCAGGAAGAAGAGCUGGUGAGAGCCAAAGGUCAGUCACUGCCAGUCCUCACCAGGAGUCAGCAUACCGCACCACACUGUGUCCAAACCCAGCGCUGUCCAUGUGGAAGGCUGCUGGCUUGUCCUUGUCCAAGUUGAAACAGAGAGAAGAAGGUUCCGUGGUACUUCCCUCAGUUCCCGUCUUCAGAGGCAGCCCCAGGAGGUGAGCAGGUCAAGCAGAGCUGGAGCCCAAGUUACAGGAAGUAUGUACAACCUUGGGCAGGUUAAUGUAGCCUGGAUUGUCAGUCUGCAAAAUGGGAACGAUAACGGCCACCUCACCAGCAGCUGUGAAGGAUUUAAAGAGAAUUGUAUAGGCCUUAAGGAUAAGACUUACUCAGUCCAUUGUACGAGACCACUACUAUAAAAACUCAUGUAAAGGUUUACACACAAAAAGAAACUAUCUUUGAUGGUUACAAGGGAGGAAAGGGGUGGGGGAUGGAAAAAGACUAAAUAGACAACAGAUAAGUGUUAACUUUGGUGAAGGGUAAGACAGCACACAAUACUGGGGAAGACAGUGCAACUUGUACAGGGCAAGGUCAUGGAAGCUCCACAGACACAUCCAAACACCCUGAGGAACCGAAUUGCUGGGCUGAAGGCUGUGGAGGCCGUGGUCUCGGGGAACAUCUAGCUCAAUUGGCAUAACAUAGUUUAUAAAGAAAAUGUUCUAUAUUCUACUUUGGUGAGUAGUGUCUGGGGUCUUAGAAGCCUGUGAGUGGCCGUCUAGGAUACUCCACUGGUCUCACUCCUUCGGGAGCAAGGAAGAAUGAGGAAAACUAAAGAUAUAAGGAAAAGAUUAGUCCAAAGAACUAAUGGACCACAUCGCCACAGUCUCCACCAGACUGAGUUCAGUACAGCUAAAUGGUGCCUGGCUACCACCACUGACUGCUCUGACAGGGAUCAAAAUAGAGGGUCCCAGACAGAGCUGGAGAAAAAUGUAGAACAAAAUUCUAACUCAAAAAGAAAGACCAGGCUUGCUGGCCUGACAGAGACUGGAGAAACCUUGACAGCAUGGCCUCCAGACAUCCUGUCAGUUCAGUAAUGAAGUCACUCCUGAGGUUCAUUCUUCAGCCAAAGAUUGGACAGGCCCAUAAAACAAAAUGAGACUAAAGGGGCACACCAGCCCUGGGGCAAGGACUAGAAGGCAGGAGGCGACAUGAAAGCUGGUAGUAGGGAACCCAAGGUUGAGAAGGGAGAGUGUUGACAUGUCGUGGGGCUGUUAACCAAUGUCAUAAAACAACAUGUGUACUGUUUAAUGAGAAACUAGUGUGUUCUGUAAACCUUCAUCUAAAGUACAAUAGAAAAAAAAAAAAAAGACCUAUUCAGUCCUGAUUUAGCUAGUGUCUGGUCAUGACAUGCCCGCUCAAAAAAAAAAAAAAAAAGGGAACCAUUUUUGGAAGUUUAGGGUCAUGGUUUCACGGGACUUCCCAGUUAAUUGGAGUAAUAACAUAUUUAGUGCUUCUGUUCUAUCUCUUAGUUUGUAGCAUAGUGCCUGAGGUCUUAAAAGCUUGCAAGUGGCCGUUAAAGUCAGGACAAUUGGUCUCUAUUCACCUGGAGCAACAGAGGAAAAAGGAGAGUCAGGAAUAGGGGGAGGAUAUGGAAUGUGUGAACAGCUACCUCUUUGCCAUGAGACCAGAACUGAACAGUGCCCGGCUACUGUUACUGAAUAUUUUGAUCAAAUAUUCUAUAGAAGAAUCCUGAGUAAAAGAGGGAAAAUGCAGAACAGGAUUUCAAAUCCUCAUGGACUUCAGACUUUCUGGAGCCAUGGAGGCUGGAUGAACUCCUGAAACUGUUACCCUGAGAUAAUCUUUAAACCUUAAGCAAAAAUAUCUCCUGGAGUCUUCUUAAAACCAAACGAUAAAAAAAAAACAAAAAAAACGAUAGUAUAUCUUAACUGGUAAAAAAUGUCUGCCUUGAGAUUUAUGCUCUUUUAAGAGCUAUUUAUAUGACACGCACACGCACACACACACAAAGAGAAUCUGCUUAUGUACAACCAAAAUCCUCAUAGGAUUUGGUUUCUUGACUUGGAGGUUUAGGGUCAUGGUUUCAUGGGACAUCCCAGUUUAUUGGCCUAAUAACAUAUUUAGUGCUUCUGUUCUACCACCUAGUUGGUUGUGUACUGUUUGGGGUGCUAAAAGCUUGCAACCAGCCAUCCAAGGCACAAUUGAUCUCUAGUCACUUGGAGCAACAGAGGAAGAAGGAGUGUCAGUAAUAGAAGGAGCACAUGGAAUAUGCUCGUAGUUGUCUCCCCAUGAACAACUACCUCCUUUGCCAUGAGACCAGAAGAACUGGAUGAUGCCUGGCUACCAUUACUGAACAUUUUGAUCAAAGAUCCUAUAGAGGAAUCCUGAUCAAAAGGGGAAAAAUGCAGAACAGAACUUCAAAUUUUCCUGAAAGUUAGAAGAACUUCUGAAAGUAUUGCCCUGAGAUAAUCUUUACACCUUAAACCAAAAUAUCACCUGAAGUCUCCUUAAAACCAAACAAUAGUUUAGUUUAACUAGUAAAAAAUGUCUGCCUUGAGCAUUAUGCACUUUUAAGAACUAACUGUAUGAGGUCAAAUUUCAACAGCAACUUGAAAGAUUAGAUAGGAACCUUAGGGGGUGGCGAAUUUAUGUUAAUGGAGGAGAAGGGUGAGAAUAGUUGCACAACUCAAAGAAUGUAGUCAAUGUCACUAAAUGGGACAUAUAGAAACUGUUGAAUUGCUGUAUAUCUCACUAUGUAUAUUCUCAAAAAAAAGUAAUACAUAAUAGUAUUAUUAUGAAGAUCAAAUGCAAUAACGUGCAUAAACUGUUUGAAAUAAAAAAGUUCUCAAUAAACAUCAGAGGCUAUUAGUACUACAAAAAAAAAAAAAAAGGAAC